GGGUCGCCGCAUCCCCUCACGGGGGGCUCCGGUGCAGCCGGCGGCGCCGCGCCCGCCCUUCCUGCCCUCGGGAGACAUCGCUUCCAGGAAUUGAGGGGCUGCGGAGGCAGGAAAUCCUGCGGGGCCCCGCAAGGGGAGCGGCCGCGCUGGCGUCCCAUCAGCGCGGAGCAGCGCGGGGCAUCCCCCGCCCCCUCCUCAGAGUGUUGAAGCUAUAAGGAGAGAUGCAGAGUGUGAUGUUAUCCUUCAAAGUGCACAUGGAAUACAUGAGGAGAAGCUAUCAGAGAGACAUUGAAAAGGUGCCAGAUACAUUUAAAUGAACCUAUUAAAAAGACAAUAAAUUUGGAAAUAUGGAGAAAAAGAAAGAGAAAAUUCUUUCAGUUUAUUGCCAUUUGAAGAAUAUUUUCUGUCAAUUUGUACAUUCAAAUGCUGCGUCUGAAAAACUGUUUUCCACACAUAAGGAAACUUGGAUCUGAAUGAUUGAUUUGCUUAAGGCUGAGGUUCAGAUCAACAUUGGUAAGUAUUAAAAGGUUAAUUGUUUAGAUAACAGAUCAAUUAUAAAACUGGUUCCGUUCUGUUAAACACAGAAAUUCAGAGAUUGCUUUGAGAUAUAUUAAAACCUGUAAUAAUUUAAAUUUUAUAGAACAAAUGGUAGGUAUGGGUAUGCCUUAUGUACUGUAUCUUUGAGGGCAGUAGUAAUAUGCAGCUGA